rnacentral:lncRNA from 1 species
AUAUAUGACGUUUAUUAUUUUGUCCCAAAGAAUUCUCUUAGAACCUUUUUUAGCGAGCGAAUUAAAGAAAUUCAAAUUUUGUAAUAAUGAAUAAACAGGCUUAUAUAAAGAGGACGCUAUAAAUAUUCCAAAAAAAGCUAUACUGACUGAAAAAAUUGCAUUUGUUACAAAUUCAUACCAAUCCACAGAAUUUUUUGAAUUUUGGUGCAAAAGGUUUAAAGACGGAGUUAACAGUUUUGACAAUGUAUCCACCUCCAUUCCUUUUUUAUUGAAAGGAAUUUGAUUGAAAGGAAUUCCUAUGGCUCUAAUAAACAAAGCAAAUAGUACCAAGACAAGCAUAGGAAAUAACAUAGUAUUAUCCGAUUCAUGAGGAUAGGCAAAAAUCCUUUUAGUGUUAAAAUUUUUAAUAGUAAUAAAAGGCCACAUCAUCUUUCUUACAUUACCAUCAAUUUGAUAUGUGUUCUUCCAAAAAAAAGAAGCCCUUUCAUUAUUAUUUGUUGUUAAGAAAGGUAAUAAACCCAAACUUUCGUUAAGCAUUUUUUAUCCUUCUUUACCCCAUAAAGAUAUUGAAUAAAAUGAACUGUUUUUUUUACAACUGUAAUUUUUUAAAUGAACAUUUAAAUGUCCUUCAAAAGUAAGUAAAUAAAUCCGAAACAUAUAAAAUGCAGUUAAUCCGGCCGUGAAACAAGCUAUUAUUGCGAAAACCGGUGAAUACAACCAACUAUCGUUAAGAAUUUCAUCUUUGGACCAAAAACAGGCGAAGGGUGGAAUACCACAAAGAGAAAGUGUAAAAAAAAGCAGUUUUUAUAAUUGGAAUAUGUUUUGUUAAACCACCUAUAAGAAUAAUAUUUUGACUCUUAUCUGGAGAAUAACCAACAAUAGCUUCCAUUGAAUGAAUAAUGGAUCCAGAUCCUAAAAACAAUAAUGCUUUCGAAUAGGCAUGAGUAAUCAAAUGAAAUAAAGCGACUCGAUAAGACCCCAUACCUAGAGCUAACAUCAUAUAACCUAAUUGAGACAUUGUAGAAUAGGUUAAACUUCUCUUAAUAUCUUUUUAAGCAAGAGCUAAAGUAGCUCCUAAAAAUACUGUUAUUAUACCUAUCAAAGCUAUUAGACUCAUUAUGUAAGGUAUGACUACAAAAAGAGGAAAAAGUCGAGCUACAAGAAAAAUUCCUGCCGCUACCAUAGUAGCAGCAUCUAUUAGAGCCGAAAUAGGAGUAGGCCCUUCCAUGGCAUCCGGUAACCAUACAUGGAGAGGAAAUUGCGCCGAUUUAGCAAUUGCGCCAGAAAAUACUAGAAAGGCACACAAAGUAACAAAUAAAAAAUGAACCUGAUUAUUAUAAAUCAAGUUAUUCAAUAUUUUGAAUAAAUUUCGAAAUUCGAAACUGCCCGUUAUCCAAUAAAUGCCCAAAAUUCCCAAUAAUAAACCAAAAUCCCCUACACGAUUAGUUACAAAGGCUUUUUGACAAGCAUUCGAUGCAAUAGGUCAUGUGAACCAAAACCCUAUUAAUAGAUAAGAACACAUUCCAACCAACUCCCAAAAAAUAUAAAUUUGUAUCAAAUUAGAACUAGUAACUAAUCCCAACAUUGAAGUAUUGAAAAAACUCAUAUAAGCAAAAAAUCUCAAAUAGCCUUGAUCAUGAGACAUAUAAUUGUCACUAUAAAAAAGAACCAUAAUUCCAACUGUAGUAAUUAAUACUAACAAACUAGAAGUAAGUGGGUCAAUCAAGUGUCCGAAUUCUAAAGAAAAAUCAUUAUUGAUAGUCCACGACCAUAUAUAUUGAUAAAUAAAACUGCUAUUUUUUUGGUGAAUAGACAAGUCGAUUGAAAAAAUCAUGACUAUACUUAACAAGAAAAGGCUUGGAAAAGCCCACAUACGACGAAGUUUUUUUAUUGCCGCCGGAAAAAAUAGGAGUCCCGCUCCUAUUAACAUAGGAGCUGGGAAUGUAACAAAAGGUAUGAUCCAUGAAUAUUGAUAUAUAUGUUCCAUAUAAAAACUUUUUGAAUUGAUAAUUAAUUGUUUCUUAUUUCUGAUUCAUCGGCUCUUAUAUCUUUUUAAAUAAGUCAAUCAAUAAAAAAAAUAUGUAAAACUUCAAUCGAAUUUUAUAUUCAUAAUUAUUCUGAAUUUUUUAAAAUACUUCACAUACAAAAUACUUCACAUUUUUAAAUCAAAAAGUUAAAAUUGGUCAAAUCAAAUAAAUAAAAAUAUUAGUGAAAAAAAAAUAAAUACUUAUUACUUAUUCUAAAUCAAAAAAUAAAAUAAAUUAUAAUUUUAUUAUUAAUAUUAAUUACAUUCCAUAAUUAUUAAAUAUUAAUUACAUAUACAUAAUUAUUACAUUAAUUAUUAAUAUUAAUUUAAUUAUAUAAUUACAAGUUUUUAUAUACAUAGAGAAAAGAUAAAGAAUUUUAACAAUUAUAAGAAAAGUAGUUUUUUUUUCUUGAUAGAAAUAAAAAAAGAAAGAUGAUUUUAUCGGAUCCUUACUGGAUCAAAAUAAUUAUUUUU